rnacentral:rRNA from 1 species
GCGUGAGUGAUGAAGGUUUUCGGAUCGUAAAGCUCUGUUGCCAAGGAAGAACGUCCUUAAGAGUAACUGCUUAAGGAGUGACGGUACUUGAGAAGAAAGCCCCGGCUAACUACGUGCCAGCAGCCGCGGUAAUACGUAGGGGGCAAGCGUUGUCCGGAAUUAUUGGGCGUAAAGCGCGCGCAGGCGGUCAUUUAAGUCUGGUGUUUAAGCCCGGGGGCUCAACCCCGGAUCGCACGGGAAACUGGAUGACUUGAGUGCAGAAGAGGAGAGUGGAAUUCCACGUGUAGCGGUGAAAUGCGUAGAGAUGUGGAGGAACACCAGUGGCGAAGGCGACUCUCUGGGCUGUAACUGACGCUGAGGCGCGAAAGCGUGGGGAGCAAACAGGAUUAGAUACCCUGGUAGUCCACGCCGUAAACGAUGAGUGCUAGGUGUUAGGGGUUUCGAUACCCUUGGUGCCGAAGUUAACACAUUAAGCACUCCGCCUGGGGAGUACGGUCGCAAGACUG